UACGGAGGGUGCAAGCGUUGUCCGGAUUUAUUGGGUUUAAAGGGUGCGUAGGCGGCCCGUUAAGUCAGUGGUGAAAGCCUCCAGCUCAACUGGAGAACUGCCAUUGAUACUGACGGGCUUGAGUACAGACGAGGUUGGCGGAAUUGAUGGUGUAGCGGUGAAAUGCAUAGAUACCAUCAAAGAACUCCGAUUGCGUAGGCAGCUAACUAGGCUGUAACUGACGCUGAGGCACGAAAGCGUGGGGGAGCGACAGG
rnacentral:rRNA from 1 species